rnacentral:tRNA from 1 species
ACUCCCGUGGUGUAGCGGUCAAUCAUGAUGGGCAUUGAACCCAUUGACCCUGGUUCAAAUCCGGGCGGGAGUACCA